CUGGACACACAAGUCAAACUGGACCUGGGUUGACACAUCAAGUCAAACUGGACUCUGGGUUGACACAUCAAGUCAAACUGGACUCUGGGUUGACACAUCAAGUCAAACUGGACUCUGGGUUGACACACAAGCAAGUCAAACGGGACUCUGGGUUGACACAUCAGUCAAACUGGACGCUGGUUGCACAUCAAGACAAACUGGACUCUGGGUUGACACAUCAAGACAAACUGGACUCUGGGUUGACACAUCAAGACAAACUGGACUCUGGGAUCCCUCGGUUACACAAGUGACCAACUCUGACGUAGACCACAUUGAUCAAUUUAACCCUUUCCCAGACCAUCAGACGGUUAGCCUAUCAGGGCCCACCAUUCCGGCCUCCAGGAUCCCUUCCCAGCCUGCCGUGCUGCAGCCGUCAACAGAGCCCGUGCUUCUACACCUGCAUUGCUUGCUGUUUGGUGUUUUAGGCUGGGUUUCUGUACAGCACUUUGAGAUAUCAGCUGAUGUACGAAGGGCUAUAUAAAUACAUUUGAUUUGAUUUGAGUCCGGCCCACAGGUCAGUGAUGACGCUGGAUGAUGCUGGUCACUAGUUUACAACGGAACCAUAAGCCAUCAAUGUCUUCACAUAAGAAUGAAAAUAUGGACUUUUUCCUUUUCCAUAUUUGACUGUCUACUUGUCCAAUACUGAUUUUAAGGAAGAUAUAUGGAAGAUUUUGCUUCUGGGGGUUAGGGUUCGCCAAAACGAGCUCCCUUUUAAAUGGACCAAUAUAUGGUCCAUAAACGAGCUGAUUGGCCAGAAAGGGACACACCUCUCCACACCCAUGAGCAAAUUGUAAUCUAUUGUUUACCUCAAACUAUUUAUGUGGUUACAUGUGAUGAGAAAUGGAAUGGCCUAAUGUUAUAUCACGUAUGUAUGUGAACAAUACAGCCAACAUUCAAGCCAAAAUGACACCUGUCCUCUCUCCUCCUGUCCCUCCAGGUCACGGAGGCUGCGGGCCAGGCUAGCCUGCUGAGGCAGCAGGAGGAGCUGGAGUGGAAGGCUGCAGACCUGGAGCACAGAGAGAAGGAGUUGCAGAACAGGGGAACCUCAACAGGUCACCCCCUUCUCCCCACACCAUAUACCUCUAUCCUUCCUCUCCUCUCACCAUAUACCUCUAUCCUUCCUCUCCCCACACCAUAUACCUCUAUCCUUCCUCUC
rnacentral:lncRNA from 1 species